rnacentral:misc_RNA from 1 species
UUAAGGAAACAUCCACAGAUGAUGUGCUGCAAUUUGUUUUACUACAAACUCAAAGAAAUUAUUAACAUUAUUCUUUAGGGUGGGUUUAUUUAUUUUUAUUUUUUUCAAAACCCGCUUCCUAUUUAUAAUUUGUGAAACAGCUCUUAGCAAAGUAAAAGCAUGAAAAUUAUUGCAUAAAAUAUGAAGAAGAUAAUUUGUAUUUGAAAUAAAUUAAUAUUUAAAAACUACCUAUAUAAAUAAUCGAAGACACUUGCAACCCCCCCCCCCCCCCCCCACCCCCACACACACACCAAAAAAACAAAAACAAAGCAAAAACCAAAAAAAACAAAAACAAAAACAAAAAACAAAAACAAAAACAAAAAGACAAAUCCUAACAGUGUGCAAACUAUCGGAAGCGAAAUUAGAGGAGUUAGGUUAAAUCGAUUUUAUUAUUAUGAUAGCGCAGUUCAAAUCUAUUUAAUAUACUCUAAAAAUAGAUUCGUAACCUUAUUCACCCAAAUUUUUCUCGAUCCGGACCCGAUAUAAUAAAUAUACACACAGACAUUAAAGUAUACAGGCACUUUUAAGUUGUGUUUGUGUGUUUAAAACGUUAAUCCAACUUUGACAUAGGCACGCACGCGCGGCGCCCCUCCUGGAAUCCUGGAACCGCCCCAUGCCUUUAGGGAACCUAUAAACCAGCAUCAAACGAUGUGUCACCGGACUCGCUUGUCUUCCCUUUAAUAUUAAUAACGUAGAAAAAAGCAGUGUUGUUUUUAGAAUAGAGUACAAAUCGCAGACAGUGUAUUUGUUGCCGUAAUUAGUCCGUUUCUUGGAGCAGGUACGAAAUUAGCGACGAGGCUGUCCACGUGGUUACCUGGUUACCUGUCAGGAUGCAGGCGUGAUGCCGUGCUGUGCACAGAUCCUGUACUGAAACAGUGGUGUCAAUGAAUACCAGGUCGGUUUGCCACAUAGCCCUCACAAUUGUACUUCUUGCGAUCAAAUGUGUUGGCAGGCCAUUCAAAAGAGAGUGUGGUCGUGUCUUUCAUUUCGACUUCGAAAACCUCGUGUCACGUGGCGGCAUAUGGCAAGGCAGGGAGGGGCGGGUAGCCAUAUAUAAGGGCAAAGCAAUAUUUCAAGGGGCGGGCUCCCUAAUUUAUCCAUUCUUUUCUCACAACGACUUGCGUGGAGGCUUUGCUUUUUCCUUUAAAAUAAAACCCAUGGAGAGGUCCCCCGGGGUGAAGGUGGCCAUCUUGAGUAACGGUUGGGAACCAGGGACCUCUACGUUAACGAUCUUCCACAAUGGCACCUGUCUCGGAGUGCGGGUCACGGAAGCCAACAAGCAGAGGGUGAGGAACAUCGAGCUGACUGUUCCAAAGUUUAAGAUGCACACUUUUGGAGCUAUUCGUGUGCGACAAGAGACGCCUGAAUGGAGUGGAUUCCAUGGUGCGCCAACACCGAUAUACAGUCCAUCAAACUCGCAAGCGGGGAGUACCGGUGGGGAUACCCCGGCGCAGACGAUAAGUAAGUCACGUGAUGAUAGGGACGUUACCAGCGACAAAAACACAGCUCAGUCAUUACCAAAGCAAAGGAUUGACCAGUUAUACACAGGAGACGGUUCAACUGGAGACACUAAAAGCCAGGAUAAUAGUUUAAACGACACCGGUGAUUAUUCCAAUUGGGAUUACAGCAAGUAUUCGUACGGAAGUGAACCCGGUGAGGAAGGUUCUGGUCGUAGUGGUGGUAACGCGCGGAGGAAUACUGAAUCGGGCUCAGCCAAUCAAACUUUAAGUGGUUCGGAUGGUACUGGAAACGAGGCCACCGUGCAGAAAACCACACCCAGGCCUCCGUUAACUAGGAUUACCAGGGAUAGCGACCACGACAGUUCGGAGUUCGUAGAAAUCAGAAAACUUUACAAACUAGACCCUCAGUUUCUAAGAGACCGGUACAAGUCGAAACUGGAGACGUCUCAGGGGAACGGCACGGGUAGAAAGACGGGGGUAAAGGAACCCCCACCCAGUGGUACCGAUCGAUCCAGGGGCGGGUCCGACACAAGCAAUAUGGAUCUGGACGAGAUCGAAGUUCGGCUGUCACAGGAUGGCGCUUUGAUCAGAUUUCAGGUCGGGACAUCAGCAAUUCAACAAACACCGCACCGUCAGAACAUAUGAAGGCACCACAUUCGGCUUUACGAAUAGGAUCCGGUGGCGGGUUAGAACCAUUUAUGGGCACGUUCGAUGACUUUGUGUGGUACACGUGUACGCCAGAUAAUUUCUUCUAUGUGGAUCAAGAUCAAGGUGGAAAAUAGAUCAAUGUGCAAUAUGUAUAUUAUUAAUAUAAUAUGGUCUUUUUAUCACCAAGUUCUGAGGUGUGUAAACGCUGGGGUGACGGUUUAGUGAAGGAUAUUCCAAAAAACUACUUCUUCUACAAAAGCUCAGACAGGAACCCCAGUAGCUUGAACGAAGCGAGAAUUCCAUCCUCAUCGCUGCGAUGGGUGCAAAACACGCAGAGAACCUUUUUUAAAACUUGAAAAACAAAAACCAUAAAAGGUUCCAUUUGCAUAAAAAAAAACCUGUUAGACCUACUCAUAGUUCAAAUGUGGAUUUUACUUUCAGUAUAAUACAGACUUUGAUGUGAUAUUGGCUGGUUCCAAUAUAAACGUUAUAAUUAUGUAGAUUUUAUUUUCAGCAUUACUGUGACUAUUAAAAGAAUCUUCAUUG